GUCUUAUCCAUUUCGAUGGCGAUGGCGAUGGCGAUGGCGACGGCGACGGCGACGGGUUUCUCUGGCGACGGCGGCGGCGACGGGUUGAGGGCUGCGGGGAUGCCGCGGCGAGGAGGGGCAGAUGCUGCGGAGGCGACACAGUGAGGUGGGGCAGUGGCGGUUGUGCGGCAAGGCAGGGCAGGUCCGGCCGAGACGGCGCGCGGCGAGGCGGGGGAGUGGCGUCGCGGGGGAGGAUGGAGGACGCCAGAGUAGAGGACGACAGCUCCCGCCGUCGCUGCUGUCCGCGCACACCCGCGUGCUCGCCUCCGUCCGCGCCCACGCCAGAGCGCUGCUUUCUGUGCACGCCCGCGUGCUCGCCCUUCAGCUUGCCUCUGCCCGCACCCCACCACACGCGCGCCGACCAGCCCAGCCACCGGGAACGCCCCCUUCCUCCUACCCCCGAUCUAGAUUUCCCAAAACGCCUCCCCAGACACCCGUAGGGCGCCCCGUCGAUCCAGCUUCGGCUCCACAGCUGGCCAGCGCCGCACUACUGCCAAGGACGGUGCGGACACGCCGGCGGCGAGCACUUACCAGGUGACCAACACCUCCUUCUCUCUUCCUCUCAGCCUGCUGCUCACUCUGUAAAUACGCACUCGAUGUGUCUGUGUUCAGAAUUUCGGAUUGGGCUGUGUACUUGCUCUUGCAACUUUUACUUGGGGAAUUCUGAAAUUCCACUCGCACGUGUGCUGGAAUCGAGUCACUAAAUGUCGUGACUUUGUACAGGCGCCAAGGGGAGUUCUGGUACCUUAGGAUUUGUGGCAAUUUCUUUGCGAGUUGCUAACCAGACUUGGCGAAUUGGGGGCUUUAUUCAUGUGUUUGUUCGAGCUGGCCUGGUUGUGCCGGUUCUGCCUGAACAAUUAAAUAUUUGAAUGAACCAUGCAUAUCUGUUCGUAAUCGUUUUGCUCAUGUCGGUAUUUCUUGAAUCAAUUUCGUCCGCGCAAGUUCAUGUGUUUGGGUGUUUUGAUGCUAAUCAUGUGUACAAUUGUUUGAAAAUUCCUGUGACUGAUCGUUGUGGAUUGGUAUUGGUUUAAGCCUACAGCUAUUACUGGUAUUUCUCAAUGUGCAAGCUGAAAUCACAUUGUGAAGUGGUCAAGCGCCCUCUUGCCGGUGGACUGCUGGUCAUCAAUGCAGCACGUCGGGCUCCCGCAGCCACAACAGAGCGGGAACUUGCAGCAGCAUCUACGACACCCUCUCCACGAGCUGAAGGUAGGUCAGGUCAUAGAUGAGGACCCGGCGACGACCACCGAGGUUUUGACAACAGGCUCAUCUGCCUCGGAUCCGUCUCCCUGUUGUUCCUGUGCUUCUCCCUCUAUAGACACACAUUGUCGAGCCGGUGAUUGGAGAAGGAUGGGGAGGCGAUGGAUAUGGAUACGGAGUCAGUGGAUGAAGAUGAUGUCAUGGCUGGGCUGAUUUCUAUUCAUCGUGUACCGCCACCUGCUCGCGUUUCUGUCUCUCGCCUAGAACCAUCAGCUAGAGGACAUGUAUUGUGCUGCUACCGGGGCCUUGACCUCAUAUUUAUCGGGCAUCUAAUUUGUUGCAAUUUGUCUCAACUAAACCCCACAUCUCACAUCUGUCUUUAGGUUUGCCCCCGUACUCCAACUGCAAGUGAGCAGCUUACUUGUGCAGAAGAAAAAGAAAGAGAAACCAUCUCCCAAGGGACACUCCUAGUUCAAGAUGAGCAUGAAGCUGAUAUACUAAACUACCAUCUCAAGAUACUCCCUCUGUUAACAUACUGAAUGUUGUUAAUGAUAAGGCAGUAAUUGAAGUUCCUCCUUGACGAACUAGCAAGAUAGUAGCACAGUUUCUCCAGUGUAAUCAAGCCCAACAACGGCUGAUGCACAAAAGGAUGAGUUUGUCUUGAACUUGUUAUAUACCACUGAUUUAUCAUCAUGUUUUUCAUGUUGAUUUUUUUAUCAAAGUACUUCUAUUUUUUCAUUCCAAAUUAUCACUGGACAGAUUCUGUAGGCUUAACAAGGAUUAUUAUGAUAAGCUUUUAUGGAUUAUAUACACUGUAGAGGUUAUUCCAAAUGAUUUACACGGAAGAAAUUCAUAGAACAACAGUCCAAUUUAAAGGCAAUGUGUAGUGCAAAGGAAACUUAAAAUGCAUCAUUGCCCUGUUCUUUUAUAUAUGUGUCUGGACUCUACUCAAGCAGCCAAUCCUGACGAGUUAUCGACACGGCAAUAGAUGUACUCAUGUACGCGGCCCCAGGGAUGGUAUUGCUCUCUCCAAUGCCCAGACAGGCAAAGGGCAUUUUAAGGUCAAGUACCUUUAUUUAGGUCGUGGUCUGAGCAUACACUGGAUGAUGCACCCUUACAAAAAUCUGGUUACUCUUCCACUUUCAGAUUCAUUAGCAAACUGUUCAUGAAAAUAUGGAUAUUAUAUAUGUAAAGAUACACUUUUUACUUGACAAACGAAAUCAUAUAGGUUCAGACUAAAUUUCUGAUGACCUUUUUCCAUGAUGCCCUGAAUUUUGGCGAUGAGAAUGUCUGGUCAUACUAAUGUGUCGAGCAAAGAAAGUUACCUUUUAAUGUUUAAGUGUAUUUCCCCAUAAUAAAAACAUGUUCAUUCAUGAGUUAUUUCUUGAUUUAGUGUUUCAAAAUCUAAGUUCGCUGAGUAGCCAGAAAUGAUUGAAGCACUAGCUAGCUUCCAUACUCACUACUCCAGUGGUAUGUUUUUAUGAUGUUCGAUUCAUAUUUAUAUUGAUAUGCUGAAUUCAUCCACCAGAACCUAAAUAUGACAUGUCCCUAGAUCUUUAUUUGAACUGAUUUCUUAUAUGAGUACAUGUUACAAUUACUUAAUUAUCUAGCUUCUAGCUACACUUCCAUUACUAUCUUUUGUAGGCAGCUAGAAAAUGAACAUCCACGAUGAUGAGAUCAUAGAAGAAAUGAACCUGCUCAUCUUGACGAGUAAUCGGCACGGCAAUAGCUAUAACCGUGGCAGCGUCCCCCAGGUAGGAUAUUGCUCUCUCCAACGCCCAUAGUGAUGAAGGUGCAUUUUAACACCAAGUAGUUUUAUUCACAUCCUGGUUAAUCAAUACAGUAACAUUCAAUCAUGUAAAGUUCUAGGAAAUUGGGUUGACAGCUUUGUUUAACACUUAAAUUGUUUAGUCUGAUAAAAUCACGCCUCACGCACAAGUUAACUCUUUUGCCUCUUGAAUUUAUAAUCCUGUCAGUCUGUUUCAGGUGAAGUGGUGCUUGCUUUAUUGCUGGGAAUAAUUAAGCUUAUUGCAUCUACAAGUGGGACAACAUACAAGUUUAUGCUUAAACUUGACCAUUUUGUUUGUAUUUUUCCUUCCGUUGCAAUGCACGGGCAUUUUUGCUAUAAUAAUAGAGAGCUAUUGCUUCUUACCACCAUAAUUUCGUCCGUUUUCGGUCCAUCCGUCGUCCGUCCACUUAUUAUUUUCUAUAUCCGAGAUGGUACUAAUCUAUCUGAGCCACUUUCGUCCGUACGUAAACAAAAGCUUCAUUUGUUUGUUCCCUGCCGUGCAGGAUGUGUAUUAGGCCUGCCCUACACUCUUUUGGGCCUCAGCCACGGCCAAUCUAGCACUCUUCCAAUCUCAAAAAUACUAACACGUCAAGCUUCACCAAGGCCCAAGUGGGCUCCUAAUCAGCCUUUUCAUGUUAAUUUAUUCAUUAAAAAGAUAGUCCCACAUCGCUUUGUAACAAUAAAUCCCACCAGUUUAAAUAUGUGAGCAAGUUGCCUAAGAACAAGCCUUCUUGGGAGUUAAAUAAUUGGAGGAUGAGGCAUGGAUCUGUUGGAAAAACAAGAGAGGGACGAGCUUUGGCAGUGAGCAACAUAACAUUCAGGAACAGGAUUUCUUGGGAAAUUAAUAAGUGUGAAGGGGAAGAGGCGCAUGCAUCUGACAGAGAAAAGAAAGAGCAAGCUUUCUUGCAAUGGAAGGAGUAAGGAAGGACAUGCAAGAUUAUACAUGAAGUUAAAGGACAGUGCCACUGAUCGUGCCACCUCACCUAUAUACCAAGAGGUUUGGGUAAUUCAUUCAUCUUUAAUCUAAUUGGUACUUCAAUAAAGUACAAAAUAGUCCAAUACUCUCUCCAUGAACCAACACCCCAGUUCCUACAUUUUUUUAACGGCUUACGGAUUGACACUAAUCAUGUGCCCGUUUUCCAUGCCGAAGUCACAUGUAAGAAGGCCUCAAGUCCCUCUACUGAAAUCUAAGCUCAAUCACAGGUUUUCCCUUUCCUUCAAGUUGUCAUCUUAUUUCAGGAUUGGCAUCACUAAUAAUGAGGAGGGUUUUUUCCAUUCAAUCAAAUUAUAAUGCCGGCCGGGGAGGUCCUCCAUGAGCGCUACUGAGCCGACAUCGACUACUGCGACAAGAACGGGGUGAGAUGAUACAACCACCUUGUAAAAAGUGCAGUUACUAAAUUAUUUAUGCCAACAAAAACACUGCAGCUGUUAAGCAAGACAGGAAAAGGUUAUCUGCAUCCUUCAGCGCAAUUGGUUACUGCAAGAAGUGCAGUGUUUGUUUGAUGAGAUAGAAAUCUGAAAUUACAUAUGGUUCUGCAGAUGCAGUAGCAACUUAUAUUUCAGUUGUGCAUAUGAUAGCAUGAUCAACUCCCCCACCCCAAGCUGAUUUGAUUCUAUUUGGAUCAAUGGACUCACAAAAAGGGCAUCUUCUAAAAUUGUUACGAUGCAACCAUUUUUUCAGCUGGGCUUUGCAGUUAUCUCAUUUUCUAUCUUUUCUUGGUUAGUUCUGGUACCCUCCUUCAAAGACACCGGCUGAGAAGGCAGCAUGGAAGUUUGCAGAGGAAAAUGGAUUGGAUGUGGUUGUGGUCAAUCCAGGGACUGUUUUGGCCCCGAUGAUUCCGCCAAGGAUCAAUGCUAGCAUGGCCAUGUUUCUUCGCUUAAUCUUGACAAUGCUCUGGUCAUAGUUUAAGAUAUUUUUCAUAAUUUUCCAGAUAAAGAAAUUUCUAUAGUACUACUCUUUAAUCAUUAUUAGUCCCUCUAGAAUGUUUGCUGAUAGGAUAGCAAUAAUAUCAUGAGUAGCAGACUGAAGCAGGGGAAAUUCAUGAACUUGUGCAAACUGAACACAUUCUUUUCCCGAUGAAACCUUCAUAUAACAUCAAAA